GGAUGUGAGGGCGAUCUGGCUGCGACAUCUGUCACCCCAUUGAUUGCCAGGGUUGAUUCGGCUAAUCUGGCUGGCUAGGCGGGUGUCCCCUUCCUCCUUCACCACUCCAUGUUCGACCCUCCCGAAGCUGCGCGCUUGGUCGAAGAGGACGGCCUUCCCCAAAUAGAGACAGACCGGUCUUCGGUUGAGGGUAUACGAGUAGCUGCGCUCCCCUGCUAGAACCUCCAAACAAGCUCUCAAACUGGUAUGUGUGGGCUGCAUAUUAGCCCCCCCCACUGUAAUAUCUCCUUCCACACUUCAUUUAUUUCUUUAGGA
rnacentral:snRNA from 1 species